UUUUGCCGAAAACAGAAUUGCAAAACAAACAUGGCGAUCGAGAUUGAGGAACCCACUUUGUUUGAAAACAUUUUACAUUAUGGUUUAUUUGUUGGGGCUAUUUUUCAAAUAAUUUGUAUCUUAGCCGUGAUUUUUAUACCAAAGAGUGAGUCUGAACAGGAUAGUGAAGAGGAAUUGAAGCAGGGCUCUCAUUCAUCAAGUUCAAACCAGAGUACCCGACCAAAAUCCAAAAAAGAGAAGAAAAAGAAUCGAUAAAGACUCAAGUUUUACCAGUAAUGGGACAGACUGAUAAAGUAGAAGAUUGGAGUUUGAUUCAUCCAUCAGACAGCUUCUCAGCUCUAGGCCUUGUAGUGUGAUAUCGAAACAUUCCAUGCAUAAUAUCUGUGCUUAUUUUAUAUACGGUAGCUUUCUUGAAUAGUUUCCUCUCUCUGUUAUUUGAAACAGAAAACAGUUAAAACAUUGACUGCAAUAAUUAUAAUGCUUUAUGUAUGUGUCUAUGUUUGAAUUUGUUUUUGACAUAUCUGUUACAAAUAUAAUAAGAAUUUUUCAGUUUAUCAAAUUGCUUUGAUUAGUGCUUCCAUACAGAAUACCAUCUAUGACAUCAUUAAACAUUUUGUUAUCAUUGUGUGUUCCUUGGAGAAAGCAUCUAUUUCUAACAAACCAUGUUGUGAUCCAUACAUAUCAGUGCUUGCAGAAUCCCAGAGGGUUAUCUACGUAAUGCAGCUCCUCUGUUGAUUCAGUGUUUUCCUGUAGGUGCUUGUUUUCUAAGACUUUUAUAUCUUAGUUUUAAUCACAAGGUUGUAGAUUAUUAUCAAGCAAUAUAUAGACACUUUACAUUAGUUACUAUAUAACUUUGUUAGAAGAUAUUUAAAUAAAGUGGGUUUUUUCAAUAAAA